rnacentral:lncRNA from 1 species
AAUCCCGGGCUUCAAGUGAUCCUCCUGCCUUGGCCUCCUAAAGUACUGCGAUUACAGACAUGAGCCAUACCUGACCAAGGCUUUUUCUGUUGUUACAAGAUUGUUUAAAAGAAGAAACUUAAUAACUGUUAACUCUUUCAGCACUUAUGUUUAUUUCAUAAAUCAUGUUUUCAGACAAAUUUCUCUCAAAAUGGUUGGUGGGGGAGGAAUGUACACUAAUCAGAAUUACUAAGACAGACAAAAGUGGUUGCAGCACUGCUUUAGUUGCUCCUUUGAGUUUUGUUACCAUCAUAACUGUUCAAAACGAAGCUUUACUUUCUUUACAUCCAUGUUUUUCUUUUUAAAAAUCAUUACAGGUGUGAGCCACCACGCCCAGCUAAAAAAAUUUUUAAAAACCACCUUCAUUGUAUUGCACUCAUCUGCUGUUAAAACUUUCGUGUUUAUUUUUUGAUGUUUUCUUCUGUGCUCAAGUGUGGGUGUCAUUUCAGUCUGGUGACAGUAUACUAUAAUAGGAUAACUGCAAAUAUAUCUGUCACUUUAAUUUGUUUUAACUUUAGAAAAUUUUAAACAUGGGCAAAAAUAAAAUAGUACAGUGUACCCAUAACCUCUUUAAUAAUCACCCUAUUUUUGCCUUUCUUGUUUUCUCUCCCAAUAAGUUUUCACUGGGAUAUAUUAAAGACAACCAGCAUGCUAUAUACCUUUUCCCCCUAAAUAUUUUCAGUAUGUAUCUUGAACAGAUAAGUCAACCUUUCACAAUAAUAGUUGGUUUGAGUCCAGAUUUAAAUAAGGUCUGUACAUUAUAUUUUGUUGGUAUUUGUCUUGUGCACCUUGCUUUUCUUUUUCAAAAUGCCUGCAGAAUUACAUGUAGCAACCUAGUAACAGCAAUGCCAUGAUAUACUCUAUCCAUUCCCCAUAAGCUGAGUAUUCAGGUUGAGUUUUCUAUUUCUGCAAACUAGUGCAAUAAAUAUCUUUAUAUGUUUAUUCUUGGAUUUUAUUUAUAUAGAAUAUAUUACAACUGAUUAUACUGCCAAGUCAAAAGUAUUUGUGCAUUUUAAAUUUUAAUAGAUCAUGCCCAAUUACUUUUGAAAAUGUCAAUUUACAUUCUCACCAAUAAUGUGUGAGAGUGUUUCUUUCCAGUGACAUCACCAGUGUCAAAAAACAUGAGCUUCUGUUGGAGCCAUGAUGGAAUAAUUGGUUUGUAUGACUGUGAUCCCUGACAGAAGAGAAUCAUGUGGGCCAGGUGUGGUGGCUCAUGCCUGUAUUCCUCGCAUAUUGGGAGGCCAAGGCAAUCACUGGAGCGCAGGAGUUUGAGACCAGCCUUGGCAAGUUAGUGAAAACCCAUUUCUAUAAACAAUACAAAAGUUAGCCAGGUGUGGUGGUGCAUGCCUGUAUUCUCAACUACUUGGGAGACAGGUGGGAGGAUCACCUGAAUUUAGGGAGGUCAAGAUUGCAGUGAGCUGUGAUCAUGCCACUGCAUUACAGCCUGGGUGACAGAGUGAAACACUCUCUCUCUGUCUCUCUCUCUCUCUCUGUCUCUCUCUCCAUAUAUAUAUAUAUAGUGAAGUUGUGCAAUAGUCACACAAACUUUCUACUUGGAGACACAUUCUGGAUAAUGAGAAAGCUGAUCCCAAACAACAUGAAGUUCUUACUGUGUUAAGAAGAUAACAGAGACAUGCUGGCUGGUGCAGGACAGAGUUCCAGAGAGGAAGGAGAUAUACAGAAAA